UACGUAGGGCGCAAGCGUUAUCCGGAAUUAUUGGGCGUAAAGAGCUCGUAGGCGGUCUGUCGCGUCGGCUGUGAAAUCCCGAAGCUCAACCUCGGGUCUGCAGUCGAUACGGGCAAACUAGAGUAUUGCAGGGGAGACUGGAAUUCCCGGUGUAGCGGUGAAAUGCGCAGAUAUCGGGAGGAACACCGGUGGCGAAGGCGGUUCUCUGGGCCUGUACUGACGCUGAGGAGCGAAAGCGUGGGGAGCAAACGGG
rnacentral:rRNA from 1 species